rnacentral:misc_RNA from 1 species
GCAAGGAGGAAGCCGCGUAAAGAGGCCGUGACGGAAAAACGGAGUUGCAGAAGGGGGCGGUGGGUGAGUUUUGGAUGACCAGUCAGUGACGCGAGAGAGAACAAAAGCUCGAGCCGCGGCCGCCAUGUAAAGAUUCGAGCUACGGAGAGAGCUCUCCCUCCCUCUCUCUAUCUUCCUGGAGCUGUAUCUGCGUGCGUCUCUCUGCGUUUGUCGACGUGGAAGGAUCUUUCGCGUAGCGUUAUGUCUUUGGCCAGAAAUUCCCUUUUG